rnacentral:rRNA from 1 species
UACGGAGGGUGCGAGCGUUGUCCGGAAUCACUGGGCGUAAAGCGCACGUAGGCGGAUUGCUAAGUCAGGGGUGAAAUCCUGGAGCUCAACUCCAGAACUGCCUUUGAUACUGGCGACCUUGAGUCCGGGAGAGGUGAGUGGAACUGCGAGUGUAGAGGUGAAAUUCGUAGAUAUUCGCAAGAACACCAGUGGCGAAGGCGGCUCACUGGCCCGAUACUGACGCUGAGGCACGAAAGCGUGGGGAGCAAACAGG